rnacentral:lncRNA from 1 species
UCACUAUCAACAAUAUCACUGAAACUCCUUUCAAUGGAUGAGAACAAUUCCAACUCAGCCCAAUAAGAAUUAUUGAUCAUCUAGAUAAUUCUCAUGAGUCUCACAAUCCACCAGUGACGCCUAGCAGCAUGUAGUGGCAUUCCAGUAGAAUGGAAUACUGAACCUCUUGGUGCAGUUACCGUGUGAUACAAUCCUUCUAUCAUGAGUUCCGACUAGACGGAGGUUAUGGAAUAACUCGUCAAACCCCAUCGUCUGUCACAUGUUAAAUUUAUUCGACUCGAGUUUCUAAUAUCGGAAACCCUUUUCCGCUAUUAACUCUGCCCUGGCCAAGGUCUUCUAAACUCAGUCUCAUAAAUCACAUAGGACUAACACUCCUAUCUACCAAGGGAAAUAGAUUCCAUCUAAGUGCGCACCCUAUUCCUACAAUGAACCUACUGCAGCCAACAUGCACCGCAAGGACCCAAAUGGCUAGGGACCAAGUGUAUGUACAGUCAAACUACAGUA